rnacentral:rRNA from 1 species
GACGAACGCUGGCGGCGUGCUUAACACAUGCAAGUCGAACGGAAAGGCCCUGCUUUUGUGGGGUGCUCGAGUGGCGAACGGGUGAGUAACACGUGAGUAACCUGCCCUUGACUUUGGGAUAACUUCAGGAAACUGGGGCUAAUACCGGAUAGGAGCUCCUGCUGCAUGGUGGGGGUUGGAAAGUUUCGGCGGUUGGGGAUGGACUCGCGCCUUAUCAGCUUGUUGGUGGGGUAGUGGCUUACCAAGGCUUUGACGGGUAGCCGGCCUGAGAGGGUGACCGGCCACAUUGGGACUGAGAUACGGCACAGACUCCUACGGGAGGCAGCAGUGGGGAAUAGUGCACAAUGGGCGGAAGCCUGAUGCAGCAACGCCGCGUGCGGGAUGACGGCCUUCGGGUUGUAAACCGAUUUCGCAUGUGACGAAGCGUGAGUGACGGUAAUGGGUAAAGAAGCACCGGCUAACUACGUG